rnacentral:rRNA from 1 species
GUAGGGAAUAUUGCGCAAUGGGGGAAACCCUGACGCAGCGACGCCGCGUGAGUGAUGAAGGCCUUCGGGUCGUAAAGCUCUGUUGCAGGGGAAUAAAAAAAUGAAGGUACCCUGUGAGGAAGGAUCGGCUAACUUCGUGCCAGCAGCCGCGGUAAGACGAGGGAUCCUAGCGUUGCUCGGAAUCAUUGGGCGUAAAGAGGGCGUAGGUGGCUUGGUAAGUCAGGUGUGAAAGCCCAGGGCUCAACCCUGGAAGUGCAUUUGAUACUGCUGAGCUUGAGUGUCGGAGAGGUUACCGGAAUACCUGGUGUAGUGGUGAAAUACGUAGAUAUCAGGUGGAACACCGGAGGCGAAGGCGGGUAACUGGACGAACACUGACACUGAGGCCCGAAAGCGUGGGGAUCAAACAGGAUUAGAUACCCGGGUAGUCC